CGGAGAAAAAAAAAUUAGCAAAUGGAGUUUAAAUGCAGAGAAGCGUCGGGUCAGUAAGAGAAAUCUAAACAUGAGAUUCUGCAGACACUCGAAAUCGUGAGCAACACACACAAAAUGUUGGAGGGAUUCAGCAGGUCAGGCAGCAUCUAUGGAGAGGAAUAUAGAGCCGACAUUUCUGACUGAUACCCUUCAUCAGAAUGGUCUCGGCCCAGAAUGUCGACUGUUUAUUCCUCCUCAUAGAGGCAUUUAAAGGUAAGCUAUUAUCUAAAUUGAGAAAGACUGCAAAGUCCAGGAAGAUCAAGGUGUACUUGUGCACAAACUAUGAAUAGUGAUCAGAUAGAUACAGCAUGGCUAGUAAAGGAAGUGGCACACAGGCAAACCCUGUGUUACCGAGGCAACUGGGGCCUGUAUUAUGAGUUCCAUGUUUAAGCUCAAACUUAUUGUCACUUCAACGAAUAUAUGUAUACCGCCAAACGUUCCUCCAGAUCAAGGUGCAUAACUCACACACGGCGCGUAAAGUCACGUAUGUGCUUUGGAUUUCCAGCAUCAGCAGAUUUUCUCACGUGCUGUCUUGCAUUCCACAAGAACUUCAUUUGUUCUUACCUGCUACACACCUUUUUUUCUCGUCAAGUUUUCUGGAAAGUGGCGUCUAAAAUCAGAGGAUACAGGUUUAAACUGAAGGGGUUGGACUUAAAGAUCUGGGUCAAUGAGACUGGAGAGGACUGAGUGAUCGCUUUGCAAAGCACCUACAUUCGUUCUGCAGAG